GCAUUCAGUUGGGCACUCUAGAGGGACUGCCGGUGUCAAACCGGAGGAAGGUGGGAUGACGUCAAGUCCUCAUGGCCUUUAUGUCUAGGGCUACACACGUACUACAAUGGCCGGUACAAAGGGCAGCCACUCAGCGAUGAGGCGCUAAUCCCAUAAAGCCGGUCUCAGUCCGGAUCGCAGUCUGCAACUCGACUGCGUGAAGUUGGAAUCGCUAGUAAUCGUAGAUCAGCAUGCUACGGUGAAUACGUUCCCGGGCCUU
rnacentral:rRNA from 1 species